CUUCCUCGAUCUGCUGCGGGCAGAUGAAGUGGAUAUGGCUAUCCAUGCCGCCGGCGGUGACGAUCUUGCCCUCGCCUGCGAUCACCUCCGUGCCCGGCCCGACGAUGAUGUUGACAUCAGGCUGCAUAUCCGGAUUGCCGGCCUUGCCGAUUGCGACGAUGCGGCCGUCCUUCAGGCCGAUAUCCGCCUUCACAAUCCCCCAAUGGUCGAGGAUCAGCGCAUUGGUGACGACGGUGUCGACAGCUCCGUUCGCGCGCGUCACCUGGCUCUGCCCCAUGCCAUCGCGAAUG
rfam:Rhizobium freirei PRF 81 Cont658, whole genome shotgun sequence.